UGGGGAAUCUUGGACAAUGGGGGCAACCCUGAUCCAGCCAUGCCGCGUGAGUGAUGAAGGCCUUAGGAUUGUAAAGCGCUUUCAGCGGGGGAAGAUGAUGACGGUACCCGCAGAAGAAGCCCCGGCUAACUCCGUGCCAGCAGCCGCGGUAAUACGGAGGGGGGCUAGCGUUGUUCGGAAUUACUGGGCGUAAAGGGCGUGUAGGCGGCCAAUUAAGUCAGAGGUGAAAUCCCCGAGCUCAACUUGGGAACUGCCUUUGAUACUGGUUGGCUAGAGUUCGGGAGAGGGUAGUGGAAUUCCAAGUGUAGAGGUGAAAUUCGUAGAUAUUUGGAGGAACACCAGUGGCGAAGGCGGCUCACUGGCUCGAUACUGACGCUGAGGUGCGAAAGUGUGGGGAAGCAAACAGGAUUAGAUACCCUGGUAGUCCACACCGUAAACGAUGAAUGCCAGUCGUCGGGUAGCAUGCUAUUCGGUGACACACCUAACGGAUUAAGCAUUCCGCCUGGGGAGUACGGUCGCAGAUUAAAACUCAAAGG
rnacentral:rRNA from 1 species